AUUAUUGGAGGUAGAGCACUGUUUGGACGAGGGGCCCCUCUCGGGUUACCGAAUUCAGACAAACUCCGAAUGCCAAUUAAUUUAACUUGGGAGUCAGAACAUGGGUGAUAAGGUCCGUGUUCGAAAGGGAAACAGCCCAGACCACCAGCUAAGGUCCCAAAAUAUAUGUUAAGUGGAAAAGGAUGUGGCGUUGCCCAGACAACUAGGAUGUUGGCUUAGAAGCAGCCAUCAUUUAAAGAGUGCGUAAUAGCUCACUAGUCGAGUGACACUGCGCCGAAAAUGUACCGGGGCUAAACAUAUUACCGAAGCUGUGGAUUGUCCUUUGGACAAUGGUAGGAGAGCGUUCUAAGGGCGUUGAAGCAUGAUCGUAAGGACAUGUGGAGCGCUUAGAAGUGAGAAUGCCGGUGUGAGUAGCGAAAGACGGGUGAGAAUCCCGUCCACCGAUUGACUAAGGUUUCCAGAGGAAGGCUCGUCCGCUCUGGGUUAGUCGGGUCCUAAGCUGAGGCCGACAGGCGUAGGCGAUGGAUAACAGGUUGAUAUUCCUGUACCACCUAUAAUCGUUUUAAUCGAUGGGGGGACGCAGUAGGAUAGGCGAAGCGUGCGAUUGGAUUGCACGUCUAAGCAGUAAGGCUGAGUAUUAGGCAAAUCCGGUACUCGUUAAGGCUGAGCUGUGAUGGGGAGAAGACAUUGAGUCUUCGAGUCGUUGAUUUCACACUGCCGAGAAAAGCCUCUAGAUAGAAAAUAGGUGCCCGUACCGCAAACCGACACAGGUAGUCAAGAUGAGAAUUCUAAGGUGAGCGAGCGAACUCUCGUUAAGGAACUCGGCAAAAUGACCCCGUAACUUCGGGAGAAGGGGUGCUCUUUAGGGUUAACGCCCAGAAGAGCCGCAGUGAAUAGGCCCAAGCGACUGUUUAUCAAAAACACAGGUCUCUGCUAAACCGUAAGGUGAUGUAUAGGGGCUGACGCCUGCCCGGUGCUGGAAGGUUAAGAGGAGUGGUUAGCUUCUGCGAAGCUACGAAUCGAAGCCCCAGUAAACGGCGGCCGUAACUAUAACGGUCCUAAGGUAGCGAAAUUCCUUGUCGGGUAAGUUCCGACCCGCACGAAAGGCGUAACGAUUUGGGCACUGUCUCAACGAGAGACUCGGUGAAAUCAUAGUACCUGUGAAGAUGCAGGUUACCCGCGACAGGACGGAAAGACCCCGUGGAGCUUUACUGUAGCCUGAUAUUGAAAUUCGGCACAGCUUGUACAGGAUAGGUAGGAGCCUUUGAAACGUGAGCGCUAGCUUACGUGGAGGCGCUGGUGGGAUACUACCCUAGCUGUGUUGGCUUUCUAACCCGCACCACUUA
rnacentral:rRNA from 1 species